GAAGGGUGGCCGAGUGGUUUAAGGCACCGGUCUUGAAAACCGGCGUGCCCGCAAGGGUACCGUGGGUUCGAAUCCCACCCCUUCC
rnacentral:tRNA from 1 species